rnacentral:rRNA from 1 species
UCAGGAUUAACGCUGGCGGCGUGCCUAAUACAUGCAAGUCGGAUGGUAGCAAUACCAUGGCGAACGGGUGAGUAACACGUAGGUAACCUGUCAUUAAGACGAGAAUAACCAUUGGAAACGAUGGAUAAUGCUGGAUAGGAUAUUUGAGGGCAUCCUUAGAUAUUUAAAGAUUUAUCACUUAAUGAGGGGCCUGCGGCGCAUUAGCUAGUUGGAAAGGUAAAAGCUUACCAAGGCGAUGAUGCGUAGCCGGACUGAGAGGUUGAACGGCCACAAUGGAACUGAGAACGGUCCAUACUCCUACGGGAGGCAGCAGUAGGGAAUUUUCGGCAAUGGGCGGAAGCCUGACCGAAGCAACGCCGCGUGAUCGAUGAAGUAUUUCGGUAUGUAAAGAUCUUUUAUUAGGGAAGAAAAGACAGAUUGACGGUACCUAAUGAAUAAGCUCCGGCUAACUACGUGCCAGCCGCGGC